CCCAGUGCGUGCACUUUGUGUACGCUGUUCUCCUGUCUAAAACGCAGGAGAAGUAAGGGCCGGGUAAGACGGGUGCCAGCCGCCGCGGUAAUACCCGCGGCCCGAGUGGUGCUCAUUAUUAUUGAGUCUAAAACGUCCGUAGCCGGCCUGGUAGAUGCCUGGGUAAAUCGGGGCGCUUAACGUUCCGAAUUCCGGGUAGACCGCCAGGCUAGGGACCGGGAGAGGCUGGAGGUACUCCGGGGGUAGGGGUAAAAUCCUGUAAUCCUCGGAGGACCACCAGUGGCGAAGGCGUCCAGCUAGAACGGAUCCGACGGUCAGGGACGAAGCCCAGGGGCGCAAACGGGAUUAGAUACCCCGGUAGUCCUGGGUGUAAACGCUGCAGGCUUGGUGUCGGGGGUCCUACGAGGGCCCCCGGUGCCGGAGCGAAGGUGUUAAGCCUGCUACUUGGGGAGUACGGCCGCAAGGCUGAAACUUAAAGGAAUUGGCGGGGGAGCACCGCAACGGGAGGAGCGUGCGGUUCAAUUGGAUUCAACGCCGGAAAACUCACCGGGGGCGACCCUUACAUGAAGGCCAGGCCAAUGACCUUGCCUGAUUUUGGGAGAGGUGGUGCAUGGCCGUCGUCAGUUCGUACCGUAAGGCGUUCUGUCAAGUCAGAUAACGAACGAGACCCUCGCCCAUAAUUGCGACGUUGAUCUUCGGAUCGGCGGCACACUAUGGGGACCGCUAGCGCUAAGCUAGAGGAAGGGGAGGUCAACGGUAGGUCCGUAUGCCCCGAAUCCCCCGGGCAACACGCGCGCUACAUAGGUUGGGACAAUGGGUUCCGACCCCGAGAGGGGAAGGCAAUCCCGAAACCCAAUCGUGGUUCAGACUGAGGGCUGUAACUCGCCCUCACGAAGAUGGAUUCCGUAGUAAUCGCGUGUCAACAUCACGCGGUGAAUAUGCCCCUG
rnacentral:rRNA from 1 species